CAAAUAUUCCUCAAGGCUAGGAGUAGGGGGUAAAAAUGCACUUGACACGCUCGAUCAUGCCAUAGAAGUCAAUGCCAUGGAUUACCAUGGCCCAAGAACACGACGUCCAAUAUCGCCAGCAUCGAUGAGCGAGGACGAUGAUUCUGAGUAGAAUAUUGUUGACAACCCAUAGUAGAUUUUGUCAUGUGAUAAUGCCCCUUUACUAAGUUGCUUACAUAUAAUAUCAUGGUCAAUAAGUUAUAUUUUUGUCCUUUGUUAUGUUUAAUUAAGGUUUGAGAAAUUAUGUUUAUCAAUUAUGUUCGUCUCCGAUACUCUACAGGAGAAAUCAUUUCUGUACUUCGCAGAGUUUUUAGUCUAUUUGCCCCUCUUUUAUAGAGUCUUCAUGUUUCCUGUGUAUCGCCAUGGAUUAGUUAUGUACGCGGUUUUUGUUUCUCGUA